rnacentral:lncRNA from 1 species
UGAGAGGUGACAGCGUCCUGGCGGCCCUCACAGCCCUCGCUCGCUCUCGGCGCCUCCUCGGCCUUGGCGCCCGCUCUGGCCGCGCUUGAAGAGCCCUUCAGCCCGCCGCUACACUGUGGGAGCCCCUUUCUGGACUGGCCGAGGCCGGAGACGACUCCCUCAGCUUGCGGGGAGGGCUCCGGACCUGCGGCCUUCCAUGCCUGAGCCUCCCCGCCCUCCGUGGGCUCCUGUGCGGCCCGAGCCUCCCAGAGGAGCGCCGCGCCCGGUUCCACGGCGCCCAGUCCCAUCGACCACCCAAGGGAUGAGGAGUGCGGGCGCACAGCGCGAGACUGGCAGGCAGCUCCACCUGCAGCCCCAGUGCAGGAUCCACUGAGUGAAGCCAGCUGGGCUCCUGUCUAGCUCAAGGUUUGUAAACACGCCAAUCAGCACCCUGUGUCUAGCUCAGGGUUUGUGAAUGCACCAAUCGACACUGUAUCUAGCUACUCUGGUGGGGACUUGGAGAACCUUUGUGUCACACUCUGUAUCUAGCUAAUCUAGUGGGGAUGUGGAGAACCUUUAUGUCUAGCUAAGGGAUUGUAAAUACACCCAUCGGCACUCUGUAUCUAGCGCAAGGUUUGUAAACACACCAAUCAGCACCCUGUGUCUAGCACAGAGUUUGUGAAUGCACCAAUUGACACACUGUAUCUAGCUACUCUGGUGGGGACAUGGAGAACCUUUGUGUGGACACUGUGUAUCUAGCUAAUCUAGUGGGGAAGUGGAGAACUUUUGUGUCUAGCUCAGGGAUUGUAAACGCACCAAUCAGCACCCUGUCAAAACGGACCAAUCAGCUCUCUGUAAAAUGGACCAAUUGGCUCCCUGUAAAAUGGACCAAUCAGCAGAAUGUGGGAGGGGCCAGAUAAGAG